rnacentral:misc_RNA from 1 species
GGUUUGAUUAUGGCUCAGAUUGAACGCUGGCGGGAUGUACUUUACACAUGCAGGUCGAACGGCAGCACGGACUUCGGUCUGGUGGCGAGUGACGAACGGGUGAGUAAUGUAUCGGAACGUGCCUAGUAGCGGGGGAUAACUACGCGAAAGCGUAGCUAAUACCACAUACGCCCUUCGGGGGAAAGCGGGGGACCUUCCCGGGCCUCGCACUAUUAGAGCGGCCGAUAUCGGAUUAGCUU